rnacentral:lncRNA from 1 species
AUGGAUUUUUGUUAUUGUUCCUGUCCAGGGAAAGAAAGAAAAGACGAAGAAGAAGAAGAAGAAAAAGAAAAAGAAGAAGGAAAAGAAAAGACCCCCCCCACCCUUUCCUCUUCGACUGCUUUAUUUAAGCCAGUGGGAAACUUCAGCCAAAGUAGCUUUGACACUGCUGGGGCCGGAGGGGAGGGGCGGCCGGGCCCCGCGGAUCAUCCAUCAUCCCUGUCACCCAGAGUCUGCCCGGAGGAGCCGCAGACGCAAUCUCCCUUCUGUCUCUACAGCGAAACUAUUAAUAUUAAAGCCUCCCUUCAAACAGCGCCCCGACGGCCUCCAUUCUCCUCGCAGCUGACCGGCUGCCCGGCCCGCGCCUCUCCCGCACGGCCCCUCGCUGCGCCNNNNNNNNNNNNNNNNNNNNNNNNNNNNNNNNNNNNNNNNNNNNNNNNNNNNNNNNNNNGCACCCGCCCAGCCCCUGCCCGGGGUCACCCCGCGCACCCCGACACCCCACCCCGGGCCUGCCAGCCCCGGGCAACUCCCUUAGAGGAUCUCCCGCCAGCAAGACUAUUGGGGGAACUUCUGGGGGAUCCCCGUCCAGGCCCUUCGAAGGGAGGGCCUCCCUUGACAGCUGCUAGAGAUAUUAGCCACAUUUCCCUGCCCAAAUCUGCUCCCGGUUAACAGGCCCGCGGGGCCAGGGGCACCCCGAGCCUCCUCCGCUCAGAUCUAACCCGGAGCGGGCCUGGGGGAAGGGGUGCAGUGCUGACCUGGGCAGUGGGAGGGAGUAGGGAGGGAGGAAGACACAGGCUUUCCGGGUCUUUUUUCCUCCCCACCCCACCCCCUUUAAAAUGUGGCUUCUUGCUCAAUUCCCAAACCUUAACAGAUGGCGACUGUAGUUCUCUCAGAAUUUCUUAAAGAAAGGGAAACCUUUGGAAUUUAUUUCUGCUUUUGCUUCUCCAUAUAAAUAAAAAAGUGUUUUUAUAUUAUUCUUGUUUUGGAGAACAUAAGCAAUUUUAUUCAGACUACAGUAUUUCCUUUAACACUAUAUGGUUGUCAAAACACCAUUCCCAGUUUCUUUGCUUUUGACAGCUGAGUCUUUCUUAAAUAUACCCAAAUCGGAACUCUUUAUACUAAAUAGUAAAACCGAGAUAGGAGCAAGUGCCUUCCGAGGUGGUAUAAAAAGUACCCUGAAAAUCGGACAAAGCUAUCAUCCUGCUGUCUUGGCAUGGGAUGUGUGUGUGUGGGGGGAUGCAAACAGACUUAUUACAAUUACCAUUCACCUCCACCUAUUUCAGAGGAUUAAAGUGAACAUCAUAGAAUGUGGAUUGUUUUCUUCAUUAAAAACCAAUAAUAGAAUGCUCUGGCUUCUAAUCUGCAAAGAAAUAACUUAAUAAUUUCACAUGACAUGUCCUAAACAUGCACCAAUUACCAAGCAAACCCUUCAGCAUGUACUUUAUUG